rnacentral:rRNA from 1 species
CUAGCGAGCCCAACCUCCCACCCGUGUUUACUGUACCUUAGUUGCUUCGGCGGGCCCGCCMUUCAUGGCCGCCGGGGGCUCUCAGCCCCGGGCCCGCGCCCGCCGGAGACACCACGAACUCUGUCUGAUCUAGUGAAGUCUGAGUUGAUUGUAUCGCAAUCAGUUAAAACUUUCAACAAUGGAUCUCUUGGUUCCGGCAUCGAUGAAGAACGCAGCGAAAUGCGAUAACUAGUGUGAAUUGCAGAAUUCCGUGAAUCAUCGAGUCUUUGAACGCACAUUGCGCCCCCUGGUAUUCCGGGGGGCAUGCCUGUCCGAGCGUCAUUGCUGCCCAUCAAGCACGGCUUGUGUGUUGGGUCGUCGUCCCCUCUCCGGGGGGGACGGGCCCCAAAGGCAGCGGCGGCACCGCGUCCGAUCCUCGAGCGUAUGGGGCUUUGUCACCCGCUCUGUAGGCCCGGCCGGCGCUUGCMGAACGCAAAUCAAUCUUUUUCCAGGUUGACCUCGGAUCAGGUAGGGAUACCCGCUGAACUUAAGCAUAUC